UACGUAGGGUGCGAGCGUUUAAUCGGAAUUACUGGGCGUAAAGCGUGCGCAGGCGGCGCGUUUAAGACAGGUGUGAAAGCCCCGAGCUUAACUUGGGAAUUGCGCUUGUGACUGGCGUGCUGGAGUGUGGCAGAGGGAGGUGGGAUUCCACGUGUAGCAGUGAAAUGCGUAGAGAUGUGGAGGAACACCGAUGGCGAAGGCAGCCUCCUGGGCCAGCACUGACGCUCAUGCACGAAAGCGUGGGAGCAAACAGG
rnacentral:rRNA from 1 species